rnacentral:misc_RNA from 1 species
CCCCCUUUGAUUUCCAAUUCUAUCUGCUAUAUUUUCCUCAUAAUAUGUGUUCAAAAACUAAAACCCAAAAAAAGUUAACUUAGCUAAGUAGCAAGAAUAAUUUCAUUUCCCUUUGAGGCUAUGUUAGUUGAAGCACUGUUUUGAUCCUCUGAAUUGUGCAUGAGAUCAGAUUAUUCACCGUCUCUACUGACUCCACUGUGAGCUUAG